GGAUUUCACUGAAGAACUCAUAUUCCUAACAUUAGAGGCUUAUUUUGAAACUAAAGGGUGUGUUUGGUUGGUCUGUUAGGCUUCCUAACUGAGUCAUUUCUAUGCUUAGCAGAUGUGUCAUUUAGCAUUUCUUGAUGGCCCGACUUUUGGGACAAGGCCCGGCGAAAUAAUCGUAAUUCUUGAGUUAGGGAAACUUGACAAUGUACCUCAUUUACCAUUUCUGUGUUGUUGCGUUACGCGAUUUUCAGUGGAAAUAUCCCAAAUUACCCCAGCUUCCCUAUUUCCCCUUCAAUUCACAAUUCGAAACCAAUGCUAUUCUUUUCCUUCUUCGCGUCGGAGAAGACAUACACGGUGACCCAAGGAGAAAGCUCUCUAAAUCCGGCAAGGGCGGCCAUAUCAACGACGAGCGGAGUAACGGAUGCCUGAGUGGCAGGCAGCUAUUGCUUCGAGUUUCACAAAGUUGGAAUUGCUUGAUCUAAGUGGGAAUGUUUCAGUCUCUCUGGUGGCAUUCUAUUUGCUGCCCGUCCGGAACUUUUAUGGACUGUGGAAUGACCAUAUGUGAUCCAAAUUGUGAUAAGUCCAUUGACGAAGAGGAUGUAGCAAGAUGCACCUACAGAAAAUGAAGUCGGAUUAAAUUUCUACACCAAUACGACAACAUUAUUGAGUAUUUGCGAGUUUAAAUCCAUAUCGGUGCUUUGCUUUGAUAAAGGGCUUCAGCCGAUGAAUUUACAAGAUGUGGCGGCGUGGGUGACAAAAUAAGGUGAAACUUUCUAAUUAGAAUGUAUUAGGUCAUUGGAGGGUAUUAUUUUAAAUACAAAAAAAUUUCAUGGGUAAAAA